rnacentral:misc_RNA from 1 species
UUUCCGUAGGUGAACCUGCGGAAGGAUCAUUAACACAAUCUUAUGAUAUCAACUUAUACAUACAUCCGUGAAUCGUGGACAACACUUUUUUCACCCCUCUUCUUACAUUCUAAUUUCUGAUUGUAUUGCUCUGCCCUGUCCCUCACAGGAUCGGAUAGUAGCGAUGCUCUCAAACAACAAAUCAACCAAAUACAACUCUUACCAGCGGAUAUCUCGGUUCCC